CCUUAUCUUUAAUUGAUUUCAACUACUGAACAACUCAAUCUUAAGCCCUCAUCUUUAUCAAGUUCUCAAACUACCUCAUCACCUAGUCUUCAAGAAACAACUUCUUAUAUUCCGAAUCACAAGCUCCUUAAGAAAUGGACUUUCAUUAUCAUUAUAGGAUUCUUGAUGCCCUAUUUCAUUCUCUCUAUGAUAUAUACCUUUUCACCAAGAUUGCUAAAGAAUUUUGGGACGCUCUAAAGGCUGAGUAUGUG
rnacentral:lncRNA from 1 species